rnacentral:rRNA from 1 species
GACGAACGCUGGCGGCGUGCCUAAUACAUGCAAGUAGAACGCACAGUUUAUACCGUAGCUUGCUACACCAUAGACUGUGAGUUGCGAACGGGUGAGUAACGCGUAGGUAACCUGCCUGGUAGCGGGGGAUAACUAUUGGAAACGAUAGCUAAUACCGCAUAAUAUUAAUUAUUGCAUGAUAAUUAAUUGAAAGGUGCAAUUGCACCACUACCAGAUGGACCUGCGUUGUAUUAGCUAGUAGGUGAGGUAACGGCUCACCUAGGCGACGAUACAUAGCCGACCUGAGAGGGUGAUCGGCCACACUGGGACUGAGACACGGCCCAGACUCCUACGGGAGGCAGCAGUAGGGAAUCGUCGGCAAUGGACGAAAGUCUGACCGAGCAACGCCGAGUGAGUGAAGAAGGUUGUCGGAUCGUAAAGCUCGGUUGUAAGAGAAGAACGGGUGUGAGAGUGGAAAGUUCACACUGUGACGGUAUCUUACCAGAAAGGGACGGCUAACUACGUG